rnacentral:rRNA from 1 species
GAUGAACGCUGGCGGCGUGCCUAAUACAUGCAAGUCGAGCGAACAGACGAGGAGCUUGCUCCUCUGACGUUAGCGGCGGACGGGUGAGUAACACGUGGAUAACCUACCUAUAAGACUGGGAUAACUUCGGGAAACCGGCGCUAAUACCGGAUAAUAUAUUGAACCGCAUGGUUCAAUAGUGAAAGACGGUUUUGCUGUCACUUAUAGAUGGAUCCGCGCCGCAUUAGCUAGUUGGUAAGGUAACGGCUUACCAAGGCAACGAUGCGUAGCCGACCUGAGAGGGUGAUCGGCCACACUGGAACUGAGACACGGUCCAGACUCCUACGGGAGGCAGCAGUAGGGAAUCUUCCGCAAUGGGCGAAAGCCUGACGGAGCAACGCCGCGUGAGUGAUGAAGGUCUUCGGAUCGUAAAACUCUGUUAUUAGGGAAGAACAAAUGUGUAAGUAACGAUGCACGUCUUGACGGUACCUAAUCAGAAAGCCACGGCUAACUACGU